GCUGGUGUGGUGGAACUGGUAAGACACUUUAGACUUAAAAUCUAACGCAUUAAGUUGUGUACGGGUUCGAAUCCCGUCACCAGCA
rnacentral:tRNA from 1 species